rnacentral:lncRNA from 1 species
AGCAAUUGAUCAUCAGAGUAUAGAUUAUGAUGCAUCAGUAUUUCCAUCCUCGGUGUACAUUCAUCCAGACUUUGGACAACUACACUAAUAAACAUAUACAAAUACCUUAAAAUUCAGUUGAACAAAGAGAAGACAAGCUCCUAAAACAGCACCCACAAUUUAAUAUUGCUAACUGGCGAAAUACCAAAAAUUUUAAUGGCAACUGAUGCAACAUGAUCCAGCAAGUAUAUAAUAAGUCGAAAAAAAAUAAAUGUAGCAGCAAACUGAAAAACAGAUCAAUCUCAUCCCCUGCAUGUUUGCGUAGGUAAAGUAACAAGACAAAACAACAAUCUUAUUGUUGCUUAUAGCUAACAUUAACAUCCAGAAAAGGAGAUUGUUCAAUAAUCAUGAGUGGCAGACAAGCUGAACGCUUUAUAGUUAAAACAAUUUUGCUUAUUCUAACAAAGAUAUACACUGCAGCAGAGUUAAAUCAGCAUAUUUAAUCAGAUGCCUCUAAUAAGAAAGCAAACAGAGAGUAAAAUAUAUCAAAAUGCAUAUAUGCAGAAAGAUCUAAAAUUUAAAUGAUGUCCAGCGACAUUUUAGACAAGGAAUAACACCAAUUCAAGUAUUAAUCUGUUCCUACAACACAGGUUACUAACCAAACUCUGGAUUUGAUGCUAGAUUUAUCUGUGAGCAUAAAAAUCACCAUGAUGUUAUUAUUAUAUAAAAAAUUUUAAUGUUAAAAUUCUGAAAUCAUAUAACAAUAGAUCAAACUUACGACGUGUACCUUACAAUGUCAUUCAUGAAGCUUUUAUCUGUUCUACGGUGCACCGUCAUUAGAUCCGAAAGAUAUAGCAAUGCUGAUUUGUAAGGAGAACUAGACUCGCAUUCUUCUCUCUUUCUAUCCUUCACAUGACCGCUAUAAAUGAUAAAUCAAAGAUAAAGGGGAGAUGAGAGAAAAUCUAUAAUCUCUUAAUGAUUAAUUCAUGUGAUUAAGAGAAGAUGAGAGAAGAUUUGUAAUAUCUUAAUAAUGUCAUGUAUCUCCGUCUCCUCUUAUAUGUAUAUCCACAUAUCCAUGUAUUGUAUUUUUAGUCUUUAGUAGGUCUUGUCUAUCUAUAGGCGAGAGUAGAGAAUUUAAUAUAAGUAAUUAGGAGAGUCCCUCCCAUCAAGGUUAUCUCUUGAGGAAUCAUACUAUAAUUGGACUUCUUUUCUAUUGCCGAUAACAAUUCAAUUAUAUUCAUAAUAUGUCUUACCUAAUUACACGUAUAUACAAAUUUUAUAAAACAGACCAAAAAUCCAAUAAACAUAAUAUCACAUUAAGUUCGACCAUCAAUACCAGUCAUAGUAAUUGCAUGUCAUCAAUGUCAUACUUCCUUCUAUGUACUAUAACACUAUUGACUCUUCCUAAUAUAGUCUAAAAUAACUCAUGUAAUUUAUCUUAUCAAAAUAAUCCUAUUAGCACAUUUAACCAUAAUAUGUACAUAUAUAAAUAUGAAUAUGAUAAUAGAAACAAAUAACUUUAGUUACGUAAAUAAGAAUAUCAAUUAUAAUGUCCACUCAUGUAUCAUCAUAUCUUUUAUGGGUUGCUCACAAACCCAAUUACAAGAACAUAUUCUUUCAAACACUUUAGAUUGUAAGUCCUAAGUGAACGAAUCAACAAUCAAUAUAAUAGAACUCAAGUCUUUAAUUGACAUUAAUUAUUUUUUAACUCUUUGUCUUUAACUAUCAAGUACUUUAUACUAUAAUGCAUAGAGCUACAAUAAUACUUACAAUUCUUAGAAAAAAAACUACUAUGAUAUAUCAUAAAGUAUCCUUAGCGACUUAAUAAUUAAGUCUAACCAUACCAAGUCUUGAGAUAAAAUUUUACAAUUAUAAAGCUUGAUUAGUUGUCUCAAAGCAUACCAUAAAAUUAGCUUCUUUUAUUAAUAAUAUAAUAAUAUAUUAUUUUAUAAUUUUCUCUAUAAAUUAUCUCUUGAUUUGAUAUAUAUAUAUAUAUAUAUAUAUAUAUAUAUAUAUAUAUAUAUAUAUAUAUAUAUAUNNNNNNNNNNNNNNNNNNNNAUAUGUGAGCAUAUAAUCAUUCGUCCCUUCCAAAUAUCUUAUUACUUUCUUUUAUAUUUUUUAGUUUUUUCAUUCCUAGGUAAUUUUAAUAUCUAUCUAAUAUUUUAAUUAUAAAAUUGAUAUCUGAUGUAGCAUAGGCUUAAGCAUAAAAUAAACUUUCAACUAUACAUAUAUAAAAAUAAUUUUUUUAUCUGAUUUUUUAAAGUAAUUUUAAAAAUAUUUGUUUUAACUAAAAUUUUAUUUUUAUCAUUUGCUGAACAAAGUUGUAUAUUAAACAUUUCCAAAACUUGGUUAAUAUAUCUUUUCUAAUAGUCCUAACAAUUCUUAAUAUCUAUCCUUAAAUAUCUUAAUAUUAAUAAUAUAAAAUAUCAUUCAUAUCAAUCAUAUUAAAAUUCUUGUUGAGAAAUUUCUUAGUUCAAUACAAUAAACCAAGAUCACUACUAACAAAUAAAAUAUUAUUCAUAUAUAAGACUAAUAUAAUAAACUUACUCUUACUGAUCUUUAAAUAUAGAUGUUGAUUAAUAGUAUUUUUCUUAAAUCUAAAAAGAGUAAUGAUAUCAAGAAACUUUAUAUACCAUUGUCUAAAGGUUUGUUUAAGGUCAUAAAUGGAUUUUUUGAAUUUAUAUAUCAAAUUUUAUAUUUAUUUUAUUUGUUUAUGAAUUAUUUAGGUUAUCCCAUAUAAAUCUAGAUCCUCAUUUAGAAAACUUAUUUUCACAUUCAAAUGAUGUAACUCAAAAUUAUAAUAAAUCACUAAUAUCAUGAUGAUUCUUAACGAAUUUAUUUAAAAAAUUAAAUAAAUUAUCUUAUUAUGGUUGAUGCAUUCUUUAUGAGUAAAAUCUUUAUGAGUAAGAUCUUAAUUUUAACUCUUCUUUUAUUGUAUUAUAUCAUUUUUUAGAAUCAUUAUUUUUCAUGACUUAUGAAAAUAAUGAGGGAUCAUUUUGAUUUCUAUAUCAUAAUCUAAUUCUGAUAGAUAAAUCACAUAAUAAUUAGAAAUGAUGUCUUCUUUACCUUUGAGAUAUUUUUAAGACUAUCGAUUGUGAUUAUUUUAUAAGUUUAUUAACAAUGAUAUCAAUAUUACGUGGGAGUUUAUUAUUCACCUUUAUCAAAUCAUUUAGUGAUUUGAGGAACAAUAAUCUCUUGAAUAUAAAAUGAUAAAGGAGUAUCAACAUUUAUCUUCUCUAUAUCAAAAAUUAAUCUUUUUAAGAUUUUUUACUCCCACUAAUUUGUUAUUUUUUAGGUAUCUUAUAUUACCAGAUUCAACUAUCCUCGUACUAUAAUUAGAGUAAUAAAAUCUAUACCCUUUUAUUUUUUCUAGAUAACUAAUAAAAUAUCUAUAAAUAAUCAUUGAAUCUAAUUUUUUUUCAUGUGAAUUUGAAAAUCAUUAUCUCUCAAAAUAAUCAUAAAUAUGUAAAUAUCUCAAGUUGAGUUUUCUACUAUUCCAUAACUCAAAAAAGUUGAUAUAAUUGACUUAUUAGGAAUCUUAUUUAAGAUAUACAUAAAUGUCCUUAAAGCUUCUCCUCACAUUAUAUCUAGUAUAAAAGAAUAAUUUAUCAAGCUCUCAUAAUAGUAUGAUUUCGCCUUUCAGUAAUCUUAUUCUACCGUGACACAUUUGAUAAAACAUACCGAGCAUAAAUAUCCUAUUUUUUUUAGAAAUCUAAUAAAAUUUAUCACCCAUGUUAGAUCUAAUAAUUUUUAACUUUUCUAUCUAAUUAUUUCUUGACUUUAUUUAUGUACACCUAAAGGUGUCAACAGUUUGAGACCUUAGAUAGUCAUAUUUUAACAGAUAAUUUUUAAAGAUAUAAAAUAUCUCUCUCCAUUGAAAUAGGAAACAUGAAGUGACACAUAGAUAUAAAGUAUAUAUAAUCUCAAGGAGCUCAUGAAACUAAGUUUCAUUCCAAUAUUUGAUUAGAUGAUCAUUAUAAACUUAAGAUUCACAUUAAUUUUGUAUAAACUAUUAUAUAAAAUUCAAAAUUUUAACUUUUAUUGAGUUUACAACCGUAAAAAAUAUAUAUCCUGAUAAUUCCAAAUAAUGAACUUAAAUUUCUAGAAUUAUAAGAACAUAAUAUACAUCCUCAAGAUCCAUCAAAUGAAUCAUUUCUAAACAUAUGUGAUAAAUUUCAAUUACUAUCACUUUCACUUAAAGAUAAUUUCUUAUAAUGAUGAUGAAAUUCUUGGGGAGUUAUACGUUUAUGUAUUGAUAAGACCAUUCACUAUUUCUUAAAGCCCCCAUAUGAACCAUAUAGCAAAGAGAAACCAUGCGAAAUAGAAGAGCUUGCCCUACCUAUGAGUAAAUAUUUCAUAGUAGCCUCAUUAGACCGUACAUCUCUCUUGGUAUAUCUAGAAUAGGUAGGAAUAUAAACUAUAAACUGAAACAUUCUGAAGCUACAAAGAUAGUUAUUAAAUUAUUAGUACCACAUUUCAUUCUCUUUUGGUUUCCAUGAUAAAUUAAAUCUCUUUUAUUGAUAACAUAUGUUGAAGCAUUAGAAUCAAUCCAUCAAGUAUUAAAAAAUAAUUUUUGUAAUAUUUGAUUCGAAAUAUACAAAGGUCAGAUUUAUAUUUUUCCCUUUGGAACCAAACUCUAUAGUUCUUCUUCACAUGACCUGACCUUCCUUGCCAUAGAAGUAGCAUUUUACUAUGAAGAUUUUUUUUUAUAAGUAUAUUUAGUAUUUAUAAACUUAAGUGAUUUAUAUUUUAAUUAUUUUUUAUUAUUACUUACUCGUUAAGUAGUACUUCAAAUAUUACGAGUCUUUUCUACUUUAAUCUUAAUUUCUUUCCAAACACAUAUACUAGUCAACUUAUUUAAGUUUUAUUUAUCCUUAAUUUUAUUGUGAUGAAUUUUAAAUGAGCGAAACUAAGAAGAAAUAGAAUUAAAAAUAAAUUAUAUGAGAAAGAAUUCAACUAUAUUUAUGCUCAAUAUUCUUGACUUUAUAAUUUUAUCAACCAUAUUAAGGAUAUAAUCUUGAGUUUCUCAAAUAUUAUCAUUUUGAAUUUCAGUUAGUUCUUUUAUUAAGGUAUCAACUAAUGACUUAUCUUAAAUUUAAAUUAAUUUUUAAAAUAUUUUAGUACACUAAUUAUAAAUUAUAAUGAAGUCUGAAUAUUAUUAGUAAUUAUCAUAAAACUAAGUCUUUUAGAUAUUUUUUGAUCAGUUAUCUCAAUUAUUCAUUUCAUAGAACUUUCGAUAGUUAAGUCUGUGGUCUUUUCAACUGAUCAAAGUCUAAUACACCUAGUGUAAAUUACAUAUGUUGAAGUCAUUUAUAAUAAUUUAAUCCAAAAAAUAUAAGGAUAUUUAUCAUAAUAUAAUGAAGGAAGCACCACUAUAAAAAAAAUAAUAUUACUACCUUGAGUUUUUCAAUAAGUAUUGAACUAUUGAUAUUGUCUCUAUUUUAUCUUUGGAUGAAAUAUUGAUAUAUGUAGUAUUCAUAUAAAAAUAUUUAUGGAGGAUUGAUACUAUUCUCAUAAAAUAGUUUUAUUACCUUUAGAUAUAUAAUAAUAAAUAAUAAAGAUAUCUAAAAUAGUAUCAUUCUAUCUCAUCACAUAAUUAUUCAAAAUAAAUUAAUCUUUAUGAUUAUCUAAAUUUUCUAAUUAUAUGUGUCAUUAUAAAUUUUAUUUUUUUAAUAUUAUUUAUAAUUAAUUUUUUAAUAUAAUUUUAUAAGUUAUUGGUCUAGACCACUUUGGUGACUACAAGACCAAUAUAAUAAUAUAAAAUAUUUUAUAAACGAUAAGACCUUUAUUUUAAUUUACAUCUCAUAAGUUUACUAUUUUAGACCACUUUGACAGCUACUAAUCAAAUAAAACUUAGGGAUACGAGUUAUAAAUAAUAUUUAUUAAUUUUUUAAUCUAAUUUAUGUUAAAAUAAUUUAAUAAUAAUAAUCAUAAUAAUUAUUGAAUAUUAAUCAGCAUAAAGAAAAACUCAUAAUCAUGAUAAAGAAUAAAUCAUACUUUUAUGUGAAUAACCAAAUAAAUAUCCAAGAAUAAUAAUUAGAGUUUUUAAUUAUCACAUGUAAAAUUGUAUCAAUAUGAUGUAUGAGAAAACUAUAAAUAAAAAUUAUUAUAUAUUUUUUAAAAAUUUCGUAUGAAACCCUUAUACCAAUCAACCAUAUUUAAUUAGGUAGACUAAAAAUUAGGCUACCCAAAUUGGGCUUAUAAAUUUACGUCGACCAUUUGCUUGAUUAGCUCAUUAGGAUUAAAGCUGAUAAAAAUAAAAAAUUAUUUUAAAUUUGACUUCUCUCCUAAUUCAAUCAAAACUUAAUUGAUUGAAUCUAAAUCUAGUUAAGUAAUUAAAAUACAAUAAUGAUCAAGUCAGAUCAAAAUAUUUAAUUAAAAUAAAAUAAAUUAAUCAAUUCUAUAAUUGAAGUCAUGAGUUAAAAAAUUUUAAUUUCUAAAAAGUAAAACUAUAGUUUUUACUUAGGAUAUAUAAAGAAAACUUUUGAUUUUUUAAGGAUAAAAUUAUCAAAAAGAUAUAAAUUAGAAUUAAAUAAAUUUACAAGGGUAAAACUAUAAUUUUAUAAGAAAUCAUAAUGCCAACCACCCUUACAUUCAUCGUCGUCGCCGCGCAUUCCACCAUGCCCACACGCAUGAGUCAAUAAUUGUCGUGCAUGCAUCGCCCGUCAUCCAUAGAUUACGUGCAGCCCAUCGCCUGUGGUGGGGCGGUUGUUAUCACACGAUCGACCGAUGACCUCAGACGAUCAAUCGACAACCUUGUCAGUCGUUUCGGUUUGUCGCCGCAUUCCUCAUAGGUGGAAUGCCUUUGCAGUGCAUCGUCAAUCGCGUGGUUGUGCACAUGCACCGAUUAGUACCCUCCAUGAUCGUCGCGGCGCACAACUAUGCUUGCAUGUCUUGCUGCGUAGCCAUUGGAAACCAUGGCCUUUAGCGUCCAGUUAAUAUCGGCCAUGGCUAGCAAGCACAGUUACCGUAUGUAGCGACGCUGUGUAGUCGUUGUACAUAGUAACACUACAAAGCGCAACCACCACGUGUAAUGGUGCUACUACAACUGUUGCACACAAUAAUGUUGCGCAACUAUCGUAGGGUUGUCGCACUCCAUAGUGCUUGUAUUGGGUAUGCAACUAUUGCGUGCAAUUAUGUUGACAACCACCGAAGGUCGUUGCCCUCAAUAAUACUAUUGUUGAUAGUAAGCUAUUAACAGUGAUCCAUUGAUCAAGCACGAGGAAUCUCACAUCGCCCGCAAGUAGGAUAAGAUAAAUUGGAUAGAAAAAAACAGAUUGGCAACAUAGAUGAAUCGUUUAUGCAUCAUACGCUAGCAAAAAGAGUUAACAAAUAGAUCUAAAGUAUUUGAUUUCAUAAAUAUGACUCUGAUACCAAUUGUAAGUAUAAAAACCAUCCUUAUACUUCUGUUAUGUGAAAAAUUUUAAUACCAAAAUCUGAAAUCAAAUAACAAUAUAUCUAAAUUUACAAUGUGUACCUUUCGAUGCCAUUCAAAAAGCUUUUAUUUGAUUUACAAGUGCAUAAUCGUCGGAUCCAAAAGCUAUAGCGAUGCUGAUUUGUAGAGGAUAUAGAAUAAGUAAUUAGGAGAGUCCCUCUCAUCAAUCUCCUGAGGAAUCCUACCAUGAUUGAACUUUUUUUUUAUUAGUCGAUAACCGUAAUCAGAAUCUAAUCAUUUUUAUAAUAUAUCUUAUCUAAUUAGAUAGGACUAUAUAAUAUAACAUUAUCAACUAAAACAGAAGUAAACAAGACAAUGAUAAAUUUCAACGACUAGAGUUUUAUCCAUCGAUGAGUUCAUGAUCAAACCUCUAUGAUUUUAACCCAUGCAAAAAAUUCUAAAAAAUCAAUUGUAGCAUUAAGAUUUAAAGUAUUACCUUUUGGAGGAUUCUAAAAUUUUUAUCUUUUAUCUUUUAAAUAAAUUAAUUAGAUAAAAUUUUAAAGAUAAUAAUCUCUUGAUUUAAAUUGUUAUUCUAUACCUAUAAAUAAAUGACAUUUAUGUGUAUAAAUUUAUUCAGAUCUAUAGAGCUCUAAGUUAAAGAGUAUUUAAGAUCUUAUAAAUAUUAUUUUUAGUUCAAUAUAAUUUUUUCUUUUAAAUUUUAAUUUUUCUUCUUUUAUUUCGUUUGGUAUUGGUUAAUAACAUCCAAUUAUUACUAUUUGAGAAAUGAUUGCAGAGCACUCUCUUUCUUCACAUCUGUAUCUUUUAACACUUUGACGAGAGUAAAUUUGAUCCACAUCAAAGCACUCAUUUCCAAUAUCUCAUUACCAGUAUUUGAAACUACCUCUUUACCUACUUAGAGCUUCCAGCCCCGGAAUUGUUAUUGAUCACCAAUCGACUUGCCUUGGCUCCCUAACAACCCGUCGACUUGGUUUUUGACGGCAUGACAUUCUUCCUCAACGUGGGUGGCGGACGGCGGAGGAAGAGAGAUCGAGUUUGAGUACAGCGUACCAGUCGACGUGGUUGUUGGCGCGACGCCAAGAGGCGAAGAUGAUGUCGGCGAAGACGAUGGCCUGGUUUCCGCUACGGAUGGGGCACGGGAUCCACAUAGCGAUGCUCCAGCCACCGCGCCGCCCCCUCCCGGCAUCCGCGACGGCCGUCAGUGUUCAUCGCUUGAACUCCAACGGAAACACUUUCAACGGAGGGUCAUUUCAGUCUUUUCAACUGGGAGACCCAGCGUCCUCGUGUUGGGUCCCUUCCUUACCCGCAAGAGGGUAUGGCGUGCGUCAGUUGAACCCGAGACCACAUCAUCCCUGUUGUGCGUCCCAUCCUUACUGUAAGAGGGCAUGGUGUGGGUCACUGAUCCCAGGACCCCACCGUCCUUGUGUCACACCGUGUUCCUAUCUUUCCUUUUACAUUUGUUUUAGUAUUUAAUUUCGUUUAGAUAUGCAGCAUAAAUGAGAAAAACAUGAA